AAGUUUGUUAUUAGUAUUGCCGACAAAGGCUGAUGAGCAUGCGCAGUUCGAUCACUUUUUUAUAUACAACGCCAUUUUCAUUUCUCCCGCUUCAUUCGAGUUGCCUCAAGCGGGGCCUGUUUAUUCCGUCAUGUUGAAAGCUCCGGUGGCGGCAAGUUAGUCAGUUUAAUUUUCCCGCCUGGUCUUAUGAGUUACCUCAGAGUUGCCUCAGGCGGCGCCCGGUUCAUGUUGGUCCGUCAUUGUUAUCACUCCGGUGGCUAGUUGGUCAGUUCAGCUUCUCCUGCUUCGUCUUCGAGCUGUCUUAAGUCAUUCAGUGGCAGUUUUUCCCGACAGUGUCAUGACUUAGGGUGAUGCAGUGCAAGAUAUGCGGAUUUGAACACCCUGCCCAGGAGGUCCUUUUGAAACAUGACCAAUUGUGCCACUACUAGGGAAGAUACCGCCAACUACCCUGCCUCUACACAGAUUGCAUCUGCUCCU